AACAACGAAGAGUUUGAUCCUGGCUCAGGAUGAACGCUAGCGACAGGCUUAACACAUGCAAGUCGAGGGGCAGCGGGGAGGUAGCAAUACUUCCGCCGGCGACCGGCGCACGGGUGAGUAACACGUAUGGAACCUGCCCGUAGCAGGGGGAUAAGCGGAAGAAAUUCCGUCUAAUACCGCGUAAUAACUCCGAGAGGCAUCUCAUGGAGUUUAAAGGGUAAUACCGGCUACGGAUGGCCAUGCGGCGCAUUAGCUAGUUGGCGGGGUAACGGCCCACCAAGGCGACGAUGCGUAGGGGUUCUGAGAGGAAGGUCCCCCACACUGGUACUGAGACACGGACCAGACUCCUACGGGAGGCAGCAGUGAGGAAUAUUGGUCAAUGGGCGCGAGCCUGAACCAGCCAAGUCGCGUGAGGGAAGACGGUCCUAUGGAUUGUAAACCUCUUUUGUCGGGGAGCAAAAGGCGCCACGUGUGGCGUUCCGAGAGUACCCGAAGAAAAAGCAUCGGCUAACUCCGUGCCAGCAGCCGCGGUAAUACGGAGGAUGCGAGCGUUAUCCGGAUUUAUUGGGUUUAAAGGGUGCGCAGGCGGAAGAUCAAGUCAGCGGUAAAAUUGAGAGGCUCAACCUCUUCGAGCCGUUGAAACUGGUUUUCUUGAGUGAGCGAGAAGUAUGCGGAAUGCGUGGUGUAGCGGUGAAAUGCAUAGAUAUCACGCAGAACUCCGAUUGCGAAGGCAGCAUACCGGCGCUCAACUGACGCUCAUGCACGAAAGUGUGGGUAUCGAACAGGAUUAGAUACCCUGGUAGUCCACACAGUAAACGAUGAAUACUAAUUGUUCGGGGAGAAUGAUCCCUGAGUGAUACAGCGAAAGCGUUAAGUAUUCCACCUGGGGAGUACGCCGGCAACGGUGAAACUCAAAGGAAUUGACGGGGGCCCGCACAAGCGGAGGAACAUGUGGUUUAAUUCGAUGAUACGCGAGGAACCUUACCCGGGCUCAAACGACACAGGAAUACUUUUGAAAGGAGGUAGCUCUACGGAGUCUGUGUCGAGGUGCUGCAUGGUUGUCGUCAGCUCGUGCCGUGAGGUGUCGGCUUAAGUGCCAUAACGAGCGCAACCCCCAUCGCCAGUUACCAGCAAGUCAAGUUGGGGACUCUGGCGAGACUGCCGGCGCAAGCUGUGAGGAAGGCGGGGAUGACGUCAAAUCAGCACGGCCCUUACGUCCGGGGCGACACACGUGUUACAAUGGCAGGUACAGAGAGAAGCAAUGCGGCGACGCAAAGCGGAACUUGAAAGCCUGUCUCAGUUCGGAUUGGAGUCUGCAACUCGACUCCAUGAAGCUGGAUUCGCUAGUAAUCGCGCAUCAGCCAUGGCGCGGUGAAUACGUUCCCGGGCCUUGUACACACCGCCCGUCAAGCCAUGGAAGCCGGGAGUGCCUGAAGUGUGCAACCGCAAGGAGCGCCCUAAGGUAAAACUGGUGACUGGGGCUAAGUCGUAACAAGGUAGCCGUACCGGAAGGUGCGGCUGGAACACCUCCUUUCU
rnacentral:rRNA from 1 species